CAGCCCUUUUCCCCCGCGAUUGUCAAAGUGGACGGAACACAUGCAGAAUGUCGUUGGUGCAUAAAGCAAGGGCCAAGAGUCGCGAAGGACUGAGUCACAAUCACAUGCCUCUGGGUGGAAUUUGUGAAAUCAUUUGUUGUAACAGAAAACAUCAGGGUCAUUAGACAACAUAGUAUAAAGCAGCAGCAUUCUGUGACAGCAGAAAUGGGGGAAGUUGUUGUGAACAAAAUAUACAGAAGGUCGUUGUCAGAGGGAGACUCCACGGACAUCAGUGGUCAGAUGAAGGAGGAGAUGAAAAGAAAAUUUUUUUUUUCAGAAAACAAUUUGGGUGAUAAUUAUUUUUCACCAUUGCUGAGAAAUGAGGAUGAAGAAUUUAAAAUAAAAUUUUCGACUCAGAUAUCGGCAAAAGGCCAAAGGCCUGUUAAAUCACAUUUUGUUGCUUCAAGUGAUAUAGCGAUGUCUGAUGCUCCUGUAUUGAGCAGGGAAGAACUCAAAGAGAAGGGAGGUUUACCCGAUGACUGUGUGGAGCAUGUCGAGGGUAAACACGAAGUUUUGUUUGAUAAUGGGGAACAGGUCAACUGCAUGCUGGGCGAUUCUGGAUAUGAUUCCUUGGAAACAAACAAACUGCCUGAGUUGGAGUCCUCUUUGCCAAUUGUAAAAGAGGUUGGAAUAAAGGAGCAAGACAUUGAUAUGAAGGAGGAGAAUACACAGAUCAUUUCAGAACAAAGGAUGCAAAGAUCGCAGAGAAAGGCCACCAAAAGAUUGAUCAGAAUAUAUGGCAGAAUGAUCAGAAUAUAUGGCAGAAUGAAGCAAAGGAAAAAAUGCAAAAGAAAGAGAAAAUGGAGGAUGAAGAAAAAAAGGGGGUUUCAGAAAUUGGAACACUUAGUGUGUCAGACAAUGAUAUCUCCAAAAAAUAGGAAAACUCUGGAUCAAAUCCAAAUGGCUGUAAAAAUGAUUGGUGAAGAAUGUCAGAAGAGUGUCGUUAAAGAUAUAUGCAAUUUGCAGAAAAUUGCAUGGAAAGGUCUAGAAAAUAAGGCUUUAGAUGCCAAUUUUAAUCGAUUGACUGAAGUUGUCAUUUUCCCCAUUUGGGAAUUGCCAGAUUUGGAUUACAGACGAGAAUGGGAUCGCCUUUGUUCAUUUGGAUCCAGACUACAACCAGUUAAUCUUUUGAAGGUAUCCUACAUCAGACUGGCCAAGUGUGGAUUCUUCUAUGAACCAAAAGAGGGAGAAGAACCUCUUGUAAAAUGUUUUGCCUGUUUCAUCUCCUUGCCAGUAGAUAAGCUUGAAUCAGAACCAAACUGCAAUGAAAAAUUGCAAUCAGUUUUGCACUUAGAGGGAUGCAACUUGAAUGGAAAUAAACCUAUCAACCUUGCCUGUUCUGAGAAUACCAGAAAAAAUACUUUGCCAUCAAAGAACAAGAAACCAUUCACCAGUGAGUUUGGAUUAGAAGUGAAAUGUAAAGAUUUCUGUGCCCUGAACACAUUUUAUGUUGACCAAGACACGAUGCUGCAGACAUUCCCCAGACUGAAAGAAAAGUAUAUGUUGUACAGCCAGAGUACUGACUUAGAGAACCCAUUCAUGAUAAUUAUGCACUGGAUUAUGAAGUACAAGUCACACUUAUCUGGUGAGCUCAUUCUCCAAAUGUUGGAUGAAAGCGAUUCAACAAGAGGAAUGGUGAGACUCCUACAACACUUGGAAUUGAUACCAGCAGAUGAGAAAAGGAUUGUCUUAUCAGACUUUAAACUCAACAAUUUCAUUUGUGAGCUGAUGAAGAGAAAAAUUGUGUUGGAGCGCAAAUGCAGUUGUCGCACUACAAAUAAUUUUAAAGAACAGAUAGUUAUCUAUGAUUUUGAAGACAGUAGUCAACCAUUAAAUGGCAUUAGUCAUUUCCAGCACUGCAUCAAUGAGACAUGUCGAAUGAUGACACAAAGCUGUGAAAUGUGUAAGGAGCAGAUAGAGUACACUCUUCGAGGCCCACCCCCAUGCCUGUUUGUCAGUCUGACUUUUCUCCAAAUUGAACACUCUGCUGACAUUCCAGAAGUUGUCUUUUUCUUUGGAAGAAGAUAUAGAAAAUGGGCAGUGUACUUACAUGGGGACAACCACUUUACCUGUGAAAUCCAGAAUUCCAAUGGUGGCCAGUCAUUGUACAAUGAUGUCAAUGUUAUGGAAGGCAACAUCUAUUCAGGCUGUCUUGUUUCACUAGAACAUUGCAUGAGUAGACCUGGAAAGCCAUGCAUGGUUUCCUUCUGUGCAACUGAUUAAAACAGUGUUAUGACGUCGACCAAACAAGAUGUGGACUCCACUAUGCCUAGUUACCUUAUUGUGGACCAUGAGUAAUGUUCAAUACCAAGAUUAACUGUGAGUCAGUGUAAAUGGUCAGAUCAUCAAAGGAAUUUUACUGAAGGGAGUGUUGGACUCUCCAGCCAGAUGCCUGUUCAUGAACAUGACACAGUUUAAUGGAUUUUAUGGAUGCCCAUAUUGUUAUGUGCCAGGAACAUCUGUCAAAACGAGCGAGAGAGGCCACACUCUUUCAUACCCUUUCAACAUGGAGAGCGGGAAUGUCAAUGGACACUGUGAACUAAGGACUAAUGAGUCCCAUUUGAGAAAUAGUGAAGAAGCAGGAACAACUAAAGGUCUACCAAUUAAAGGUGUAAAAGGACUUACGUGGUUUUCUUAUUUGCCUUUCUAUGACAAUGUUCGAGGGGUUGCCAUAGACUAUAUGCACUGUGUUUGUUAGGAGUUGUAAAGAUGCUAGCAACACUGUGGUUCGAUAAAUCGCAUGAGCAGGAGAUAUUCAGUAUUUCUUCACGCGUUGUAGAAGUUGACCGGCGAUUGAUGGCUAUUAAACCACCCAGUUUCAUACCGAGGUUGCAGAGAUCUUUAAGUGAGAUUUCUCACUAUAAAGCUGUGGAACUGAAGAACUUUUUGUUAUUCUACAGUUUGCCCUGCCUGAUUGGAAUUCUAUUUCUCGUUAUUGGUAUACGCAACAUACAUUUUGCUGCAGGAAACAAUUACACGUCAAGAUGUUCAGCAAUGCAAGAAGAUGCUGAUGGAACGUCACAGCCCUAUAUGGUGAAAGAUAUUCUACAUCUAAUGUACACAUUCUUUUGCAUAUGGCAGACAAAGUAGUCAAUUUGGGUCCUCUGUGGUCUACGUCAUGCUUUUAUUUCGAGGACUUUAAUGGAUAACUAAAAGAUGAUUAUUUAUUUCACGGUACCCAGAGUGUAGACAAACAAAUUGCAUUUGCAGUGCGUGUUCAUCAGUCCUUGCCAACGAUGGCACAUGCAUUACAUUAUGGAAGUGCAGAACACAAAUUUUUCAAAAAGAUGAUAGGAAAAAAAACAACAGCCCACAAGAGAAAAGGUGACAGAAAAGGUUUUUGUGGUUGGUACAUAUCACAGCAGGCCCAUGUCCACAGAGGAACAGCACGCCAUAUAUUCUUGGUGGGUGGGAAUGCAAGUUCAUCAAUGUUUUUCACCAGAUUAUAUGCUAACCAACAAAUUGUCCAUUCUGCAGAAUAUAAGGCAACAGGGAGACGUGACAACAGUGCUGUUCGCUUUAACGGAAAUGGCUAUGGACGCAUUCAGUGUUUUGUUAAAGUGAAAACACAGAUUGAUGAGUUUUCAUUUUAUGCAUUGAUGGAUAUUAUGAAAAAAUUGGAAGAAUCUAUGGACAAUAUAAUGCGCAGCACAUGUGACAAACACAUGGUCGCUUUAAGACCAAGUUGUGGUCAGUUGAGAGCAGUGAAUGUGAAGGACAUCACCAACGCUUGUGUUUGUGCACAAGCAAGUGACAAAUUAUAUUUUGUUUCCAUUGUUCCGAACACAAUUGAGAAGGAAUAAAUUACAAUUGAACAGUGCAUAGAUAUUAGAAACUAUCAAAGGGACUGAUUCAUGACCCACCCAUCCCAAUGUUUCUUGCUUUUGAAAAUAAAUGAGUUGUAUCUUUAAUGUUAACAUCUACAAAAAUGAAAAAUAUUUUUUUUUUUUUUUUCAAAAACGGCGAACCAGUCCCUUUAACAUGUUUAAUUAUUCUGUGCAUGUAUGUAGUAAAUAUGAUAGCUUGACGUAUAUAUUGAACUUAGGAUUAUAGAUCAAUUAAUGACAUCUUUGAACAUGUUGAUGUGAAUUUGUCACUUCAUUGUUAAAACGUUGCAUUCUUUUAAAAACAUUCUUUUGAAAAUACACAAUUUACAAACAAUGAAACUAAUUUUCUUCUUUUCUGUAUAUAUUUGUAUAUGUGUGAUAUAAUGACAGGAAGCUAUUUAGUUUUGAAAAUAUGGUCAACAUUGCCUUAUUGCCAAAGAAUGUCUGUUACAAUCUUUACUUUUCUGUUUCAUUGGAGCAAAUGUGUGUUAGAAUACUAGCAGUGCAAGAAUUCCUCACCAAAAAAUCUAAGUCCAAUAAUGGGUCAUUUUUAGUACAGUAAAAAAAUUACUAACUUAAGUCCAAAUUGGAUACAAAAAUAUUUAAGUCCCACAAAAGGUCAUUUUUAGUACAGUGUAACAAGACUAAGUCCAAAUUGAGUACCAAAAAAGUACACCCUUUAUUUCUCUUGUUUUGUCAGAAAAAUAUAAGUUCCAAUAAAGGUCAUUUUUAGUACACUGAAAAGAAUCUGUUAGAAUUUAGCUCAGAAAAAGUACAAUUGAAAAAAACUAAGUCCUAAAAAGUACACUGGAUAAAAACAAAGUCCAAAAUAAGUACAAUCAAAGGUCAUCAGCUUUCAGAGGCAACCUGGUCUAAUACCAAAAAAGUAUACUUUUUCUGACCUUUUCUCUAAAAAGUACAAUUUUAUAUGACAUAAAAGUAUCAUAAAAGCAUACUUUGGUGUACUUUAUUUUGGUAUGGGCUAGCUCUUGUAAAAUGCAGCAAACGUACUACAAUGUACAUUCUGAUAUUGCAAUUGAGGUAGCUCCACCCUCGUGUGAUGUAUGUAUUAAUAUUGACAUUAAGGUAGCUCCAUCCUUGUGUGAUGUAUUAAUAUCGACAUUAAGGUAGCUCCAUCCUUGUGUGAUGUCUUAAUAUCGACAUUAAGGUAGCUCCACCCUCGUGACAAUAUUAAUAUCGACAUUAAGGUAGCUCCACCCUCAUGUGAUGUAUUAAUAUCGACAUUAAGGUAGCUCCACCCUCAUGUGACAUAUUGAUAUCUAUGGUUCAAAGUAGAAAAACUGUAUUUCCACUUAAUAUUAUUCCAUUUAAUCAAUAAUCAAAGAAGUGUGUAUGUUGCCACUGUUUAAAGAUAUCAGACAUUACAUAAACAGAUGUAUACAUGUAUAUGUUUUCAUCAGAAAAUGACACAUUCAUUAGAAUACAUAAAAACUAGUUAAAAUGACAAAAAUUUUAUUUCAACAGUUUCAAAAAACUGCUACUUCCUGAAUAUAUAUAAAUCUAUUGUGAAUAUUGGGCAAAUCAUUGUAUAAUAGACCUACAAUAUUGAAAAAAAUGUCGGAAGAGGAGUUAUUGCCCUGGACAACGUUUUUGAAAUAAGAAUGAUUGAUUAUUUAUAAAAUUUAGAUAUCUUCAGCAUCAACUUCUAGUUAACCAAAUUUUUUUUAUUAUACCCAGUAAAUAAAAUUCUUCCUAGAAAUAUAUUUUUAUCAUGCACAAAGUUUAAUUAAAUAAAAAUUUCGCAAACUCCUAUGAUGUCACGUGAGUAUAGCUACAUGUACCUUUAAUGAAUUACUUCUUUAAAAUGCAAGAUAUAUUAUUUGCUUGGGCUGUGUUUCACUUGUAAAUUUAAAAUGUAUCGUGCAUGGUGAUGAUUUAUGAAAAAUAUUGUGAUACAAGGCAAAACAUUGAUAUUCCAUUUGUAUUGUAUUAAGCAGUCUUAUGAUGUACUGAAACACCCCUAGUAGUUACAUAGGAUUCUUGCUUAGAAUCUUGGUAAUUCUAUCAGAUUAUGGAACACAUUCUGCCAAUCUAGAAUCUCAACACAUGUUAGAUGUGAGAUUCAAGACAAAUAUAAAUGAUAUGCAGAUCUUUGUAAAAAUAUUGAAACAAUUGUACAGAAAUUAUUAAAAAUACUGUAAAUAACAUAUCAUAGACUUGAGAUCUUAAAAUUGUUUGUACAUGUAUUUAUAAGGAAUAUGAUAUCUCUGUGAUUUUGUAUUUGAGCAGAAGUGAACUGUAGGCCUAUAGGAGUUUCUCUUACCAGACUUUGUGAUGUCAUUUUAGUAAUUUUAACUUCAUUAUUUUUAAAUUUAAUUCUUCAGAUCCACUAGGUUACUUUCAACCAAAUUUGGCACAAAUCAUCAUAAAGGCUGGUUUUCCUAAUGAAAUUAAUCACCACAUAGAAUUUUUGUUGCAUGCAGCUCUCUGUUUACAUGCAACAACUGUUGCAUGCAAUUCUUCUAUUUUUCCUCCAAUUUUGAAAACACAUUUUCCCAACUUUAUUGCAGAUCAAAUCACAACGAAAUGGUUUAACCAUUAUAACAAAAACAUGGCAGCAUCCUUGUGUUUUCAUAUAAUGUUAAGCAUCCGUCUCUUGCUCAAAGAGUUUUAUAAGCUUAUCUGUUUGUUUAUCAGUGGGGAGAUCCUGUGGAGAUCCAGGUUAUAAUAGAUCCUCAGUACCCCCUUGAUUGUCAUAAGAGGCGACAAAAUGGGGCGGUCCUUCGGAAGAGACCGCGAAAACCGAGGUCCCGAGUCACAGCAGGUGUGGCACGAUAAAGAUCCCUCCCUGCUCAAUGGCCAUAAGCGCCGAGCAUAGGCCCUAAAUUUUGCAGCCCUUCUCCAUAUGAGAAAAAUAUUCUCGAGAGGGAUGUUAAACAAUAUUUAGUUAAUCAAUCAGUGGGGAGAAAAACACAUGUAGAAACUCCCUGCAUAUUCGACAUACAACCUUUUUUCUAAGCUGAUUGGUUACUGCUGAUAGGAAUUGCAUGCAACUCGACUUAAAUAAAACAUUACUCUAUUACAAAAUAUUGUGUCAUGAAAAGUGUUGCAUGCAACUACAUGUAAUAAUUAGCCUAGUUCACACACCACAGUUUAUCCGAUGAAAUUAACUGCAUUGUGUAAACCAGACUCUAGAUAAAUUUAAUAAAUUUUAGUCUUUUACUCAGAGAGACCACACUUUUCCAAUUUCAUGAAAAAUUCUUGAACAUAUUCAAGAACCAUGAUAUGGUACAGUUUGUCUAAAUAUUCAAACAUCCUCAAGUAAUGUACAUUUUAAAGUUUGUAAAAACCAUGACUCCUAGAUUCAGGAUGGGGCCAUAAUUGGGGUUUUGAUUUUCAUAAAGGUAAAUUCUUUUAAAAUCUCAUGAACUUCUUGGGUACAAUUUGACAUGUAGUGUAGAUUCAAGUUUAAUCACACCAUGACCCUUAGAGCCAAGGCAUGGUCACAGUUUUACAUAGGGAUUUGAUAUAUGUCGGGUGAACUGUGGCCUGUGUGUCUCUUGUUUACAUGUAACCUCUCGGUACGAAGCUUAGUAUCUAAUUGUCUCGGGAUGAUUGUAUUUUUACUGUAAUAUGCUUUUUUUUAAUGGAAAUCUUGUACUUAUUUUCUUUAUACCAGUAUGUGUCAUGGUAGAACAGUAUUUUUAUAAGCUUUAUGAAUUAGAUGUGUUACAUUGAUUGUUAGAUUUUAUGUGUCGUGGUAGAACUGUAUUUUUAUAACCUUUAUGAAUUAGAUGUGUUACAUUGAUUGUCAGAUUUUAUGUGUCGUGGUAGAACUGUAUUUUUAUAACCUUUAUGAAUUAGAUGUGUUACAUUGAUUGUCAGAUUUUAUGUGUCGUGGUAGAACUGUAUUUUUAUAACCUUUAUGAAUUAGAUGUGUUACAUUGAUUGUCAGAUUUUAUGUGUCGUGGUAGAACUGUAUUUUUAUAACCUUUAUGAAUUAGAUGUGUUACAUUGAUUGUCAGAUUUUAAGUGAAUAAAGCAGUAUCUGGAGUA